GGCAGCUCCGGGCGGAACCCCCGGGCACGGCGGGGCUCCAGGGACCCCCGCGAUGCGCAGCGGAGCAUCCCGGGAGAGCCGCGGGAAUGGCCCGGGCGGGGCGGCUGGAAUGGAGGCGCCGUAGGGAGCUGGCUCCUAGAAUGCUUGGAGUCAGAAAAUUUGCUGCUGUCACGUCGUCCCUUGCCUUGGAGCCCGACUCAGGCUUACAGCAAUUCCUGUAGCACAUCCUUCCCGUCACAGGCACGUCUCAGCAUCGUCACUCUGGGCUGAAUCAGACCUGUCUGAGCAUUCACCCUCCUGUCACAGAAGAAGCAAAGGAUGCAGCAAGGCUCAGAGUGAGCGGCUCCAGGUGUCAACUGAGCAAAGUCAGGAUCAGCUGCAGUUAUUCCAGAGUACGUGCCCACGUGCAGAAUAUUCCAGAACAGGCCUCCUCCGCAUCAGUCAUCAGCUUCAAUUACCAGUUUUCCGGAGCCGAGCCAUCAGGCAGUCUGACACGAGGGUCCAACCUAAUUCCCACCUUCUCCAAAGUCAAGAGCAUAAUGUGCAGAUGAAAAGGUGGAAAAUAGCCUGGACUUCAUUAGCAUGCAGAGCCCGGCUGUUCAUUUGCUUGCUGCGAAUGGAAGUUCUGACACUCGGCGCCUUCUGCAAUAUGAGAAAAGUCCUCUUCAGAGUAUAUGAUGUCCUCACCAGCCAGCAAAGGUCAUCAAAAAGGCAGGCGCUGACCUUGCUCCCUGCUCUUCAUGACUAGUUUAUUGAUUCCAGGAACACCUCAUUACAUGCCGGAUCAACAUAUUAUUGCCAUGUUCAGCGGCUGAAUUGUUUACAAGUGUCUUUAUAACCAGCAGAAAGCCUUCCGGAUGAUGCAUGACUACACUCAUUUGGAUGUGACCUGCCAAUUAGAUGUUAUCCGAUCUGGUGCCGUGUGUCCUGAUCCCUGACCGGGCCCGCUGCCCUGCAUCAGCACGGGCCCAUUUACUACUUCUUUCGAACGGCUCUUUGGCAAAGUGUCCAUUAGCCUGUCAGUCUGUAAAUAUUUUAUUUUUUUUUACCUCGGCAGCGGUGGAGGCGCCGCCGGCGCUCCCGCUCUGUCAUUUGCUAUGCAUGAAGUUGAUAAUCAGCUGGGGGAGGCAAGGGGGUGUUUUAUGGCAGCGUCUGAUGGCCCACCCCAUUUGCAGUCAGCGUGCGCGGCCCGCGCUCCCGCGCCGCGUGCCACCCCGCCACAGGGACCCGGCAUAUUUUAUUCCGGCGCCGGCACCGCGAGACUGCUGAUUUAUCGGUGGGGGGAAGGCAGGAGCGACCCCCCCCCGUGCUCAGCCUCCCCCUGCCCUGCCUCCAAAGGCCCCAUAACUUACCACCCAGCAAACGCCUUCCCCCUUCUCCAUCUUUCCGGCGCUUUGUGUUCUCCCUCGUUAAUAUAUUGCGCCGCGUUAUUUAUCCCGGCCCGCAGCCUGGGGUAUUUACACACGCGGAGACGCGAGAACUUCAAAAAUAAAUCACGGGGCACGACUACUAUUUUAAUCUCUCAUUACGGACACUUCUGUGGCUCCAUAAAGAAAAGAGUGGCGCGGCAGCUUGACGAGCGAGUCCGUAAAGAGAGAUCUUCUGUGCCAAAAAGCGGUGCUGGGAUCGUGGCUUCCAGGCACCACAAGUCUGCACAGGCUGGGGUUUUGAUUUUUCCUCCUCAGCUCUGGUGGUGGUAGGGUGGCUGAGAUGGCAAAGGAAACUCCGUGCAGCCGUGGAUGUGGCUGAUGUGGCAGGGCCAGGAUGUCUGUGGGGGCUGUGGCCUAGCUGGAAUAUGAUAAAAUGUUCACACACGUGGCACUCUCUGCCCAGAGCUCUGCAAACAUUAAUCAAGUUGCCCAGCGCCCCUUGGCAAGUGUCAGUGCUGAAAUCUCCUUGCUGGGGUUAAAUCCAGGGACCAGAAGGGCUAAAGGGCUCCAAGGGUGAACCCACAGCCCCAAAAGAGCCACAUCUCCAGCAUCCUGCUCUCCAGAGCCAGCAUUGCAUCUCCCCAGUCCCAAAACCCACCGUGCCAGGCCCUGGGCUGCCAAACCACAGGAAUGCGUCAGGAGGGAGGGAUGUCCGUGCUGGGUGACAGAAAACAGCUGAGGGUUCAAUUCCCUCCUUACAACAUGAAGCGUUGGGAAUUGGGGGCUGGAAAAAGGGGGAAUUGAAUUCCUUAAAACAGCACAAUUAGCUUCCAAAAUAAAAACUGGAAUGUGUUUGUUUAAUUAGAGCUGAGGCAAAACACACACUUGGGUCAAACCAGCCUCAGGCUCCAGAGACAACACAGUGCAUUGAUGUGAAUUUUGGAAAGGAGGGGGAAAAGCUUCCAUUUCCUAGCAAAUCCCUGGCUCUGGGCAGCCCUGGAGCUGCCGGUGUUGAAUAUUCAGAGGGCUGAUUCCCCACAGUGAGCGGCGCUGCAGCCAGGUAACAGCGCAGGCUGGCACAGCGGGAAUGGAGCCUGGGAGCUCCAAAUCCCAAAUGUGGGAUCUCCACCAGGGUGCAGGGAUCUCCCUCCCCCGGGGAAGGUACCAGGUCUGGCCUGCCCCAUGGUCCCAGUGGGGGGAUCUGGCCUUAUUUUGGCUGUCUUAAGCCUGCAGUGGUUUAUCGAGUCCCAGACAUCCCUCCAAAUUUGGCACCUCAUCCCUUUGCUUCUGUUUGUGUCCCUGUUACUGGAUUUCUUUUAAAUGGGAGAAAAAACAAUCAGCUCUUUAUGACAGCGGACAUGAAAGCUGUAUGACUACGGAGAAGUGCAUUAACCUUUCCUUUAGCUUGGAGAACUUCAUAAUCUUUUAAAAAUCAACUUUUUAUUAAUUUCAGAAUGCUGCUUGAUGCCUGAGGGGAGUGAGGAGCAGUGGUAUCACCAGUGGAGUUCUUUGCCACUCUAACUUAAGGUCAGGCUUGCAGGUGCUGCAGGAACCCCGGCCCAUGCAGAUAGUGAAUCAUGGAAUUGUGAAGGUUAGAAAAGCCCUCUAAGAUCAUUGAGUCCAGGCAUUCCUCCAGCACUGCCAAGGCCACCUCUAAACAGUGUCCCCAGGUGCCACAGCCACACAUCUUUUAAACUCAUCCAGGGAUGGGGACUCAACCACUGCACAGCUCCAGGGCAGGAGCAGCCAAGCACUGCAUCUUCCCAUACAGCCCAUGGGGGUGAAUUAAACUGGUGGUGCUUGGCCAGCCUGGAGCUGGACCUCUGCAUCCAUGUGGGUAAGGAGGAAGGAGCCACCUCAAUUUUAUUGCAAAACUGGGUUUCCCUGAGAGAAAAUCAGGUUGUCCUUGCUGGGCUGAAAUUUGGAUAUAGCAGGGCUACUGUCAGCCGUUCUUCCUUGGAGACUGGGGCAAGGAGACAGCCAGGAGAACCCAGCCCCUUUCCAGGGAGUUGUGUAGGGAAGGAAGCAGCUGAAGGGCUGCGAGAGCCCAGCGAGAGCAGUUCAUGGGGCCACAGACCCCACAUGGAUCAUCCUGGAGCCCGGAGCUGGGGGACAGAGCCUGGCCCCGUGGCACAUGCGAGCCUCUCUGGGUGAUGGGCACACACUGGGCAGGGUGGGCUCUUAUUAAUUACUACUAAUAACUUAUUUCACGUAUGGUUCUCGAUGGGAUUUUGCUGCAGAGGGCUGCUGAUAUUUUAGGCAUACGCGGGGUGAAUCUCUGUCGGCGCAGCCAAAUCCCCGGGCCGGGGCUCCGAAGCCGCCGGCACAGCCCUUGCCGAGUGUUUCCAAACUGAAUAGUCAUUGGUUUGGCAGAUAAUUCAGAAACUAUUUGUAUGAGCUGUUUAUCAAAUUAUUAACUGCACAGAUGUUGUUUGGUUGAAGAGCAGCUGAACCUUCUCUCUGCCAGCCGGGGAGACAAAGGUCUGCAGGAAUAAUUGGAGAUGUGCAUGGAAUAUUAAAUUAAUUUACUGCUCUUAAUUCUUAUGCAAAUCCUGACCUCUGAUAGAGCCUAUCAAUUACCCUGCACACAGGGAAAAGAAAGGAGAACAGUUUCUUUCUUUUCUUUCCCCCCCUCUCCUUUUUUUCCUGUUGUUCUCCAGUUUGGGGUUUUGUUUCUUUGUUGUUGUUGGUUUUUUUUCCCUUUUGAAAGGGAACUUGGGAAAGGAAAUAUUUGUGGGAAGAAAAAAAGCCAUUUAUUUGUGGUGCAAAGGGCCAGGAUUAUUUAAUUGAAUGUCCCAGUUGCAGCGAUGUCCCCUGGGAGACAGGGUGCAGUUUUUAACAUUGUGGGGUGCUCAGGGGAGGCCUGGGAAUGUAGGCCAGAGCCGGGCUGGAAUAGCUCCACAUGCUUCCCCAGGAGGGGCCCCACUCUGCCAGCACCGUGGUGGGCUGAAGUGGGAAAGGACUGGAGGCCCGGGCUGAUCCCAGCUGGAUUUUGGUGGGGUUGGGGGCAGGAAGGGGCCCCUGGCUCUGCUGGAAUCCAGCCGGGGUUCAGGUGGGUUAUCAGGGAGCUCUCCCUGCCCCUAUAGCGGGGCUGAUUCUUCCAGUAAUUACCAGGGAAGAAGAAAAGGAAUUUGUUGUGAGAUCCAGGUAAAAUGAAGCAGGAUUUAAUUGGUCCUCGUUAAACAGAGCUGGGUUUCCAAUAUGGAGAAAGGCCUCGUCCGGGCAGUGUUUAAUUGGGGCUGUGUGUGCGCUGCUCAGCCGGUGCUUAAAGGCAGACGCCGGGCCCUGUUCUUUCAUCCCAUUUUCUAAUAAGGAUAAAUAAACAGGAUGAAUAAUGCCAUCAGUCUCUCCCUCGACCCCUGUGAGACCCCAGCAAUGCAGUGCUGUUCACCCCAGAGCUGCUUCCUGGGAUCCAUGAGCAGGAUCCCUCGGCACGGAGCACCCGAUGCGGCACCGAUGGGCUCCGUUAGCAGAACCCCCAGGUCCAGCUACGGAGCAGUUUGGGGAAUUCUUUGGUUAGUGGCUGUCAGAGGGGAGCCUGAGGAGGGGAUGGGGCUCAGGGGGCAGGACGGGAAAGGAGGGAGAAAAGAAUGAAAAAUAAAAUUAUGUCUUUCCCUUCUAUUUUUCCUUUUUUAUUUUUUUUCCCCCGUAAAUCCUGGGAAGCACUGGGAGACUGCACUCCCCCUCCCACACCGCCCACUCGGGUAAUUUCAUUUAUCCUGCAAAUCUAAUUAGCAAUCCGUGGCUGACAUUAAUACAGAUCUAAUGAGGCCGGCGAUGACCAGAUUAUCAGGCGAGCGCUGACAGAGCCUUAAAGGCACAUCGAGCCCUGCAGUCAGUGCGACCCGGCAGGGGAAAAACUGCUUUAAAGGGGGAGAAGAAAAAGGGGGAAAAAAAAAAAAAAAAAAGGAAGAAAGAAAGAAAAAAAAAUUGCUGAGGGAGGGGGAGAAGAACAUGAGGAAAAGCGGUGCGGGUAGGGCUUGGUUGCUUAGCUUAUUAAGGGAGCUGGAGCUUUGCUGGACGCAGUUUAUCCACAGCAUCGGGCCUCUGUCCCUGCUUCUUCUGAAAUACCGUUCUGCAGAGGAGAAAAAGGAGGGGGGGAAAUAAGGGAAAAAAAAAAAAUAAGAAGAAGCUGGAGCCCAAGGAGUCGCUGUGCAAUUUAUUCCAAGGGGUGGCUUUUGAGAAGGCGGCAAUUUGCGGCGGCCGGGGGUUAUUUAGUGCGAUAUGAAAUCAAAUGAUCCUAUUGCUCAAAUAACAGUGUCUGGGAGGAGAAGCGAGCGCGCUCCAAAGCAGCAGCAGCAGUAGCAAGCACUGAGAUCGAGCAGGAUGGAGCGGCCUGGCCAAGCCAUGGCCCCGCUGGCAGGAGCUGCAGAGCGGACAGCGGAGGGAACAGCUUGGUGGUGAAGAUGCUGUUCUCCUGAAAGGGGAUCCUGGCAGAAGCAUGGCUUGGUGCAGAGGACGGCACAAAGGCGAGACAGCAGGAGACACUUGAAUGGAGACUCCUCGUGUUUACAGCCUGGUCACACAAGUGACUGAGACCCGAAAUCUCCCUGACAUCCUCUCUGGAUGCCUGGCCUUGGAACAGCCUCAUUCGUGCCACGCCUGCUCCCUUCCGCUCGUGGAGCCUUCUGUGCUGCACAGGACACUGGAAAAGCACUUGGAGAUGGCUGGAGAAGGAAGGGGGCUUCCUGGAACAUGGUCUCUAAACCAGGCCCUUCCCUGUGCCGUGGCUUUUCUGGGGCUCAUUAAUAUCUGUGGUAUGUGCUUAUAUCUCAAUUCUCCAGGAUUAAUUCAAAAUCCACGGACAGUGACAUGCCUAGGGGCUUUUCAAUUAUGUCACUCGGCUUUGGCUAAGGCCCUUACAUUUGUAAUAAACAUGACAUGCUUGUAA